AUUGAACGCUGGCGGCAGGCCUAACACAUGCAAGUCGAACGGUAACAGGAAGCAGCUUGCUGCUUCGCUGACGAGUGGCGGACGGGUGAGUAAUGUCUGGGAAACUGCCUGAUGGAGGGGGAUAACUACUGGAAACGGUAGCUAAUACCGCAUAACGUCGCAAGACCAAAGAGGGGGACCUUCGGGCCUCUUGCCAUCGGAUGUGCCCAGAUGGGAUUAGCUAGUAGGUGGGGUGAUGGCUCACCUAGGCGACGAUCCCUAGCUGGUCUGAGGGGAUGACCAGCCACCCUGGAAAUGAGACACGGUCCAGACUCCUGCGGGAGGCAGCAGUGGGGAAGAUUGCACAAUGGGCGCAAGCCUGAUGCAGCCAUGCCGCGUGUAUGAAGAAGGCCUUCGGGUUGUAAAGUACUUUCAGCGGGGAGGAAGGGAGUAAAGUUAAUACCUUUGCUCAUUGACGUUACCCGCAGAAGAAGCACCGGCUAACUCCGUGCCAGCCGCCGCAGUAA
rnacentral:rRNA from 1 species